rnacentral:misc_RNA from 1 species
GAAAUGCGAUACGUAAUGUGAAUUGCAAAUUCAGUGAAUCAUCGAGUCUUUGAACGCACAUUGCGCCCCCUGGUAUUCCGGGGGGCAUGCCUGUCCGAGCGUCAUUUCUGCCCUCAAGCACGGCUUGUGUGUUGGGCCCCGUCCUCCGAUCCCGGGGGACGGGCCCGAAAGGCAGCGGCGGCACCGCGUCCGGUCCUCGAGCGUAUGGGGCUUUGUCACCCGCUCUGUAGGUCCGGCCGGCGCUUGCCGAUCAACCCAAAUUUUUAUCCAGGUUGACCUCGGAUCAGGUAGGGAUACCCGCUGAACUUAAGC